GAAGGAUUGGGGAGCGGGAGGAGGGGAAUCCUGCAGCGGGAGAGGCCGCAGCUGUGCACAAGGAGUGAAGAAGGCAAACACUUGGCAGAGACUCCUGGCCCCAGGUCUCCUCCCGCCUCCACUUCAAACACUUGGCAGAGACUCCUGGCCCCAGGUCUCCUCCUGCCUCCACUUCCAGCUGCAGGGAAGCUGCCAGGAUGCAGGCCCCACAGUGAUGAGGGUGAUUAUGACUGCUUCUGUGACAUGUAAGGCACAAAAAUUAGCAUGUGAGGUCGGACACGAGAGAAACCAAGGGCACUGGACUAUCUGGAGGAUGUUUUAAGGUCACAGGCUUAGGAUGUUAAAGACUCAAGAUGACAUUAUUCCUACCUCAAAAUAACAACAGCUUCUACAUUGCACACCCACUGGCUACCAACCUUCCAUUAACAUGCAGGCUGCCUCAAACAUACAAGACAACAGCUGCACCUCCAGCAUUGCAUCUGCAUUCUCCACAGAGGACAGAAAAGGGCAAAGGCAAGGGCCGGCCAAACGUGUUCCCGUGAAAGGGCCUUUCUCAGGGUUCACAGAGGCACUUUCAUUGGCACCCCCUGGCAAGGACUGGGUCAUGUGACCACACAGCGAUAAGAGAACUGGGACGAGGCACCGUUUUUCACCCCAUUUCUUUUAUUUUGCUUGUUUUUGUGGUGAAAUCGGGGUGUAGAGUUUCCACAGC